rnacentral:rRNA from 1 species
AACGCGAAGAACCUUACCAGGUCUUGACAUCCCAUUGAAAAGUGCAGAGAUGCGCUCGCUCUUCGGAGCAAUGGAGACAGGUGGUGCAUGGUUGUCGUCAGCUCGUGUCGUGAGAUGUUGGGUUAAGUCCCGCAACGAGCGCAACCCUUGGAUUUAGUUGCCAGCAUUAAGUUGGGCACUCUAGAUCGACUGCCGGUGACAAACCGGAGGAAGGCGGGGAUGACGUCAAAUCAUCAUGCCCCUUAUGACCUGGGCUACACACGUACUACAAUGGCCGGUACAACGGGAAGCGAAGUCGCGAGAUGGAGCGAAUCUUUAGAAGCCGGUCUCAGUUCGGAUUGCAGGCUGCAACUCGCCUGCAUGAAGUCGGAAUUGCUAGUAAUCGCGGAUCAGCAUGCCGCGGUGAAUACGUUCCCGGGCCUUGUACACACCGCACUACUA